UUGGCGGACGGGUGAGAAACGCGUGGGUAACCUGCCCUGUACACACGGAUAACAUACCGAAAGGUAUGCUAAUACGGGAUAAUAUGCUUUUAUCGCAUGGUAGAAGUAUCAAAGCUCCGGCGGUACAGGAUGGACCCGCGUCUGAUUAGCUAGUUGGUAAGGUAACGGCUUACCAAGGCUAUGAUGGUUAACUGAUCUGAGAGGUUGAUCAGUCACACUGGAACUGAGACACGGUCCAGACUCCUACGGGAGGCAGCAGUAGGGAAUAUUGCGCAAUGGAGGAAACUCUGACGCAGCGACGCCGCGUGGGUGAUGAAGGCUUUCGGGUCGUAAAGCCCUGUCGAAAGGGAAGAAAAACAAUUUGGCUAACAUCCAAGUUGCUUGACGGUACCUUUAGAGGAAGCACCGGCUAACUACGUGCCAGCAGCCGCGGUAAU
rnacentral:rRNA from 1 species